rnacentral:lncRNA from 10 species
UACUAAUCUUAAGAAAUCUUUUCCUACUUGGCCCACUGUUCUCAUUCUCUCACCUGUUCCAUGCUCUACAGUGUGUUUUCUGAACUCUCGAUCUGACCGAGUCUCUCCACGCUGAAAAGUCUUUCACUGGCUCCUCAUGAUAGCUGAGCACACUGCUUAACAUAGCAGGGCCUGUUGUGUUUCACAGGCAGACUUGCCAUUCUUCACCUUCCCGAGCCCUUUGUUCCUCCUGUGCCCUCUCCUGGGACUGCUAUGCUCCUCCUUGCCCACCUAGGGAAUGUUCAUUUAUUCAUCAAGAUCCAUGUCAGAGGUUGACUUUUCCUUGACCCUUCCUCUGAUAUGAUGUAUAAUUUUUGUCUGAACAUUUUUUUGAGCUUAUAUGACAUUGUGUUGUCGUUAAUUAUUUGUAUGUCUGACCGAACUGGUUUGUGAGUUCUCCAAGACAAUGACCAUGUCUUAGUCAACCUUUGGAAAUCCAGUGACUGGUUCUGUGCCUGACAAGUAGAUUUUGAUGAGUGUUGAGUAAAUGCAGUUUCAGACCCUUAAC